rnacentral:rRNA from 1 species
GGAUUGCCCCAGUAACGGCGAGUGAAGCGGCAACAGCUCAAAUUUGAAAUCUGGCCCCCAGGGCCCGAGUUGUAAUUUGUAGAGGAUGCUUUUGGCGAGGCGCCUUCCGAGUUCCCUGGAACGGGACGCCACAGAGGGUGAGAGCCCCGUCUGGUCGGAUGCCAAGCCUAUGUAAAGCUCCUUCGACGAGUCGAGUAGUUUGGGAAUGCUGCUCAAAAUGGGAGGUAUAUGUCUUCUAAAGCUAAAUACCGGCCAGAGACCGAUAGCGCACAAGUAGAGUGAUCGAAAGAUGAAAAGCACUUUGAAAAGAGGGUUAAAAAGUACGUGAAAUUGUUGAAAGGGAAGCGCCUAUGACCAGACUUGGGCCCGGUGAAUCAUCCAGCGUUCUCGCUGGUGCACUUUGCCGGGCACAGGCCAGCAUCAGUUUGGCGCGGGGGAUAAAGGCUUCGGGAACGUGGCUCCCUCGGGAGUGUUAUAGCCCGUUGCGUAAUACCCUGCGCCGGACUGAGGUACGCGCAUUGCAAGGAUGCUGGCGUAAUGGUCAUCAGCGACCCGUCUUGAAACACGGACCAAGGAGUCGUCUUCGUAUGCGAGUGUUCGGGUGUAAAACCCCUACGCGUAAUGAAAGUGAACGCAGGUGAGAGCUUCGGCGCAUCAUCGACCGAUCCUGAUGUUCUCGGAUGGAUUUGAGUAAGAGCAUACGGGGCCGGACCCGAAAGAAGGUGAACUAUGCCUGUAUAGGGUGAAGCCAGAGGAAACUCUGGUGGAGGCUCGCAGCGGUUCUGACGUGCGAAUCGAUCGUCAAAUAUGGGCAUGGGGGCGAAAGACUAAUCGAACCUUCUAGUA